rnacentral:rRNA from 1 species
AGAACGAACGCUGGCGGCAUGCCUAACACAUGCAAGUCGAACGAGACCCCUGAUUUCGGUUGGCGGGUCUAGUGGCGCACGGGUGCGUAACGCGUGGGAACCUGCCCCUUGGUUCGGAAUAACACAGAGAAAUUUGUGCUAAUACCGGAUGAUGACUUCGGUCCAAAGAUUUAUCGCCGAGGGAUGGGCCCGCGUAGGAUUAGCUUGUUGGUGGGGUAAUGGCCUACCAAGGCGACGAUCCUUAGCUGGUCUGAGAGGAUGAUCAGCCACACUGGGACUGAGACACGGCCCAGACUCCUACGGGAGGCAGCAGUGGGGAAUAUUGGACAAUGGGCGAAAGCCUGAUCCAGCAAUGCCGCGUGAGUGAUGAAGGCCUUAGGGUUGUAAAGCUCUUUUACCAGGGAUGAUAAUGACAGUACCUGGAGAAUAAGCUCCGGCUAACUCCGCGCCAGCAGCCGC